CGGUGAUCUAGCCAUGGGCAGGUUGAAGGUUGGGUAACACUAACUGGAGGACCGAACCGACUAAUGUUGAAAAAUUAGCGGAUGACUUGUGGCUGGGGGUGAAAGGCCAAUCAAACCGGGAGAUAGCUGGUUCUCCCCGAAAGCUAUUUAGGUAGCGCCUCGUGAAUUCAUCUCCGGGGGUAGAGCACUGUUUCGGCAAGGGGGUCAUCCCGACUUACCAACCCGAUGCAAACUGCGAAUACCGGAGAAUGUUAUCACGGGAGACACACGGCGGGUGCUAACGUCCGUCGUGAAGAGGGAAACAACCCAGACCGCCAGCUAAGGUCCCAAAGUCAUGGUUAAGUGGGAAACGAUGUGGGAAGGCCCAGACAGCCAGGAUGUUGGCUUAGAAGCAGCCAUCAUUUAAAGAAAGCGUAAUAGCUCACUGGUCGAGUCGGCCUGCGCGGAAGAUGUAACGGGGCUAAACCAUGCACCGAAGCUGCGGCAGCGACGCUGAUGCGUUGUUGGGUAGGGGAGCGUUCUGUAAGCCUGUGAAGGUGUGCUGUGAGGCAUGCUGGAGGUAUCAGAAGUGCGAAUGCUGACAUAAGUAACGAUAAAGCGGGUGAAAAGCCCGCUCGCCGGAAGACCAAGGGUUCCUGUCCAACGUUAAUCGGGGCAGGGUGAGUCGACCCCUAAGGCGAGGCCGAAAGGCGUAGUCGAUGGGAAACAGGUUAAUAUUCCUGUACUUGGUGUUACUGCGAAGGGGGGACGGAGAAGGCUAUGUUGGCCGGGCGACGGUUGUCCCGGUUUAAGCGUGUAGGCUGGUUUUCCAGGCAAAUCCGGAAAACUAAGGCUGAGGCGUGAUGACGAGGCACUACGGUGCUGAAGCAACAAAUGCCCUGCUUCCAGGAAAAGCCUCUAAGCAUCAGGUAACAUCAAAUCGUACCCCAAACCGACACAGGUGGUCAGGUAGAGAAUACCAAGGCGCUUGAGAGAACUCGGGUGAAGGAACUAGGCAAAAUGGUGCCGUAACUUCGGGAGAAGGCACGCUGAUAUGUAGGUGAAGUCCCUCGCGGAUGGAGCUGAAAUCAGUCGAAGAUACCAGCUGGCUGCAACUGUUUAUUAAAAACACAGCACUGUGCAAACACGAAAGUGGACGUAUACGGUGUGACGCCUGCCCGGUGCCGGAAGGUUAAUUGAUGGGGUCAGCGCAAGCGAAGCUCUUGAUCGAAGCCCCGGUAAACGGCGGCCGUAACUAUAACGGUCCUAAGGUAGCGAAAUUCCUUGUCGGGUAAGUUCCGACCUGCACGAAUGGCGUAAUGAUGGCCAGGCUGUCUCCACCCGAGACUCAGUGAAAUUGAACUCGCUGUGAAGAUGCAGUGUACCCGCGGCAAGACGGAAAGACCCCGUGAACCUUUACUAUAGCUUGACACUGAACAUUGAGCCUUGAUGUGUAGGAUAGGUGGGAGGCUUUGAAGUGUGGACGCCAGUCUGCAUGGAGCCGACCUUGAAAUACCACCCUUUAAUGUUUGAUGUUCUAACGUUGACCCGUAAUCCGGGUUGCGGACAGUGUCUGGUGGGUAGUUUGACUGGGGCGGUCUCCUCCUAAAGAGUAACGGAGGAGCACGAAGGUUGGCUAAUCCUGGUCGGACAUCAGGAGGUUAGUGCAAUGGCAUAAGCCAGCUUGACUGCGAGCGUGACGGCGCGAGCAGGUGCGAAAGCAGGUCAUAGUGAUCCGGUGGUUCUGAAUGGAAGGGCCAUCGCUCAACGGAUAAAAGGUACUCCGGGGAUAACAGGCUGAUACCGCCCAAGAGUUCAUAUCGACGGCGGUGUUUGGCACCUCGAUGUCGGCUCAUCACAUCCUGGGGCUGAAGUAGGUCCCAAGGGUAUGGCUGUUCGCCAUUUAAAGUGGUACGCGAGCUGGGUUUAGAACGUCGUGAGACAGUUCGGUCCCUAUCUGCCGUGGGCGCUGGAGAACUGAGGGGGGCUGCUCCUAGUACGAGAGGACCGGAGU
rnacentral:rRNA from 1 species